UAAAACGUAGGAGGCGAACGUUAUCCGGAUUUACUGGGUGUAAAGCGCGUGCAGGCGGUGGUGUAAGUCGUGUGUGAAAGCGCCCAGGCUCAACCGGGCGAGGACGGACGAAACUGCAUCACUAGAGGUAGGUAGAGGCGUGCGGAAUUCCGGGUGUAGUGGUGAAAUGCGUAGAUAUCCGGAGGAACACCAGUGGCGAAGGCGGCGCGCUGGACCUGACCUGACGCUAAGACGCGAAAGCAUGGGUAGCGAACGGGAUUAGAAACCCCGGUAGUCCAUGCCGUAAACGAUGCAUACUAGGUGUUGCGGUGUCAAGCUGCAGUGCCGAAGCAAACGUGAUAAGUAUGCCACCUGGGGACUACGGCCGCAAGGUUA
rnacentral:rRNA from 1 species